GGCAUAUGGAAGUUCCCAGGCUAGGGGUCAAAUCAGAACUAUAGCUGCCAGCCUCAGCAAUGCAGGAUCUGAGCCACAUCUGCGACCUACACUGGAGCUCACGGCAAUGCCGGAUCCUUAACCCACUGAGCAAGGCCAGGGAUCAAACGCGAGUCCUCAUGGAUGCUAGUCAGAUUUGUUUCUGCUGAGCCAUGACAGGAACUCUGAGAGAAUCUUUCUUAUUACUACAGACAAGUCUGGACCUAGAAAUGCCUGCCUCUGUGUAUUUCUCUCCCAGGAUUGAGGAGAGUGGGAAAUUUCCUUCCCUUUACACUCUACACUGUGGAGGAUCAGUUAACCCCUCCUCAUUCUUCUCUCUGUGGGCUGAUCCUUGCUAGGGUUUGACUUGGUUUUCCCGUCCUUUCUGGUCCCCCUUUCCAUACUGUGCCCCCAGUAAGAGAGGUGAAGGGGAAAGCAAGUAUGGAAGGGGAAAAAAAUCCCAACCUACUGUUGCCAUGGUAUUUAUUCAACACACAUUCACCACUUCCUACACCCCCUUCUAACUUUUAUACUACCCUUAUGGUCAAGAAAGGCUGACUGGACUGGGAACUUGAAAGAGUUGAGAUUUUAUGAGAAGGAGAAAGGGCAAACUCCACUCCAAUACAUCUUCUGACCCUAAUUCUAUCAUUCCGUGACAUACUUUCUUUUAGUAUAAAUCUGUUACACUAAUUUCUUUGCCUCAUGGUUCAGCCUCUGGUCAGCCCUUAUCCUCCCUGCUCCUCAACCAUCCCACACGCUGUUUCACCACCAUGCUCUUCUUGUACCAAUGCCACUGAUUUCGCAAAUCCACUCUCACUGUCAGAGGGAAGAAUGGUACCUCCAGGGAAUGGUAGUGAGGGAAGAUUUGCUUCUAGUACCUCAAGUUGGAAUUCUGUCAUUUACCUUGAUAAACCUAAAUAAAGCAUAUACUCCUUUCUCUAGAUUCAUUUAUUUUUACUAAUAAAUAAUCUAUUAACUGCCUAUUCUUCCAAUCUUUUCAAUGCAAUCACAUAUUUCCAAGUGAAGGUAUUAAGAAGGCAAAGUUCAGGGGAGAAGAUAAGCCUGGAUGUUUAAAUCUGGGAGUUGUCAACAUCCGUACGAUAACUAUGUACAGACUGAAUAAAAGCACCAGCUUCCAAUCCUUAUACUAAAUUUUAGUAAAGCUUAACUUCAUUUCUGCAUAUAUACGUAUUUUAAAAAUACAUCUAUAGAAGCUCCCCACAUGCUUUCUUCCCCCACAUGCCUGGUGUGCAAGAGUCUUGCUUUGCAGAACAGUGUUCAGAGAUACAGAACUCUAAUGGCCAAGUCCUAUGAAAUGCACAUUUUCAAUUCUAUUGUAAACUGCUUUUCAAAGUGCAAGCAGUUUAUGAAGGAGUUCCUGUUUCUUCACAUCCACUCCUAAACUUUCUAUGACCAGACUUUACACCUGCCGAUUUCUGGAUUGAUCUCACCCCUCAAGGAUCAGAUUCCUACUCUGACUCUGUCAUUAGUUGAGGAAUCCCCACUUCUACCUUAGCUCAAGAUUUUGACUGUUUAAGGUCCCUGAAAAUAAGAUUAUUCUCCAGAGGUAAAAGUUUCAUUAGUGGGCCAUUAGGUAAAUGUGGAUUUAAUAAUUUAUCAUUUUCUGAUAAUCUUAUAAAUGUUUAAAACAUAAUCACAUAAGGUUAAGACAGUCACCAGGAGCCCAUUAAGCACUAUCUAUUACAUGGCACAUAAGUAAGCUUUCAAUAAACAUCUGGUGAACAAAGAGAAGGAAAUGUUGCCAUGUAGCCAUGUACCAAUACAACUGGUGCCUCUCUUUGCUUCCCUGACAUGAAUUAACCAGGUUGUGUCAGUUCUACUUCUGAGGUAUCUUUUGUAGCUCUGUCUUAUGGAUCCCACUACCACUGCCCAAGUCAUGGCCAUCUAAAUCUCUGCUCUUCCGGAGUUCCCAUCGUGGAGGUUAACUUGUCAGAAAUGCCUAACAAAUGUUAAGUGAGUCAGUGAAUAAAUCAAUGAAUACAUUAUUGUUAUAAUAGCUAGUGUUGAUUGCUUACCCUGUGAAAGGCACUGUGGUAAGCAACAUACAUAACUGUUCAUUCCUUUCCUUACCAGCAAAUGCUUCAGUGGUUUUCAAUGGCUACUUAACAGUCAUUAGGUAAACUCUAGAAAGCCACUUAACAUCUUAAGAUCUCAAUUUUCCUAUUUGUGAAAGACAGAGGAGAUGGGCAAAAUGACUCUUAGACCAGUUCUAAAACAGUGUGAUAUAAAGAAACAGAGCAUUUAGAGUUGAGUCAUGAAAACCAUGAAUGGCCGGAUAAGUUUGAGGAGACGAUGUUGCACAUGCUUUGGAAUCAGAUAUACUUGUCUAGAAUUCUCGGCUCCAUUACUCAGUUAUGUGCUCUUAGGCAGUUAAAUUCCCUAAGCUUCCACUUCUUUGUCUAAAAAAUGGACCUACCUUGUUGUAGGGUUUGAAAAUAAUAUGUAUAAAAUGUUUGGCAUAUUAGUAUAUCUUUUAAAAAAAACAGAAGAAAGACUUUAUUAUUGGUUCUGGGAAGUCUUUCACUCUAUUUGUUCCAACCUUAGGAUUUAACAAUUGCAAAGGUAACUCUUUAGAUAGGACUUAUCUGUGCCAGAAACCUUGCUAAAAUGCUUUAAAACACUAACUCAUUGAGCUUGAUAGCACACCUGUGAAGUAAGUACUAUUUCUGCUGUUACCAUUUUACCUCCAAGAAGCUCAGGCCCAAAGGGUGCCUAACUUGCCCAAGGUCACAUAGUUAUUAUGUGGUAGCGCUUGGAUUCUACAUCUAGCUCUUCAGUGCCAGAGCUAGGACUCUUAAUUACAUUUCUCUUCUUCUAAAGCCAACCAAUGACCUAAUUUAUUAGAAGAAACCUACAAUUGGCUGCUCUAAUAAAUACCACAAAAGAGUGAUUAAAUGGCUUUGUUUAUGGAGAAACCAAUCUGGGCACUGUUCUCUCCUGGAGAAUAAGAGACUAGUGACUGAGUCAAAUGUUUAUUUCCUUAAAGAGUCAUACAUUUGUAAACAGUGAGAAUUUUUUGUACACAUAGGUGUGGUUUGCUGCCCUAAGUGCUCCCAGUUCAGGCCCUUUGUUUCAAAUGUUUCAGGGAGGAGGCCUCUGCUUAGAAGUACAAGGGUGAAGCUGAUCCUGAUCUUAGACUUUAGGCAUAGUUCUCAAAAAGCACCACCCAAAGAGCAGGAAAUAGGGAAGUCAGAGUCUGUGGCUCACACCUUGGAUCUGCUGUGAUUUUAAGAGUACAGACAAUGAACUAGCGAUCCCCACUUCUGGGCAUCUGCAGCAGCUUUAUUCUGACUGAUGAAUAAAAGGUGUAAAUGCCUAAAAAAGAAAAAGAAAAAAAGACAGAAAAAGAAUAAUCUCCAGGUCUCAGGGUUCCACUGAGUUAUUACUAUCCCCCCAAAUGAGCUCCAAUGACAAUGCCACACACAAAAGAAGGGAAUAUGACCAUCUGAUCAGAUGGGGAAACAACUGACCAGCAAGAUGGUUACUUCUUUUCACAGUGACACUUGGAAAAAAGACAGCAGAUGGUAUUUAAAGAAAUGUUACAAAUAGUCUCCCUCGUCCUCCUAACACCUGUGAGCUAUAUAACACCAGAACACUGUUAUCAAUAAACAGGGUCUAGAGGAGGCAAUUGAGAAUGGAGGGAAGACAAAAUUUUAUGUCUACCUUUGAAACUGACAGCACUAACAGCCUGAAGCUAGCCAAAACACAGACUGGGUCUUGAACCCACGUGCUGGGACUUGAACACAUCCUAAACCCAGACUGGGACUUAAACCCACUGUGGUUUUAAAUUAAAAUCACUCACCCAGUGUCUGAAAUCACUGAGGUUCAGGUUCUUCCUGCCUCCAUAAAGAAGGAAUUCAGCAAGAGACAAAGUGAUAGGCAAGAAACAGAUUUAUUAGGAUAGGACCCUUGUGAGAGAUGCAAGCAGGCAGGCACAGAAGCUCUGCCCCAAGGAUCCAGGGGACUACAGUUUUAUUAUCCAAGGGAAGUGGGGGUCAGACCGCCUCUUCCUCUUUCCUUAGGAUCCUCCUCAGCAUCCAGUAAGGUGUGUAUUCAAAUCAGCAGAACGGUGGCCCUCAGACUCCUGCCCUUGGUCUGAAUCC
rnacentral:lncRNA from 1 species